ensembl:lincRNA
UUCUUCACCCUAGUGCCGGGGAAGUAGUAAUUAGUGUCUGGGAGCUGCGCUCCUCCACUUCUCCCAGUGCCUCUGGCGAUUUCCAAGUGGGAUCUGCGACUUCAGGGCUCUGGCCAAGCCCGCAGGCUGGCGUGAUUAGUUGCCGUUGAAGGGGGCUCCGCCAAUGAAAUCUUCUCUGCGCUCUGAUUUGGCGGUUCUUCGGUGCAAAUAUGACAGCUUUCUCUCUCAGCUCUUUUCUGCAUCUCUCCAUGUCCGACCCCGGAGCCCAGUUCUCGGUCUGCAAUUUCUACACCACAACCUUUGCAAUCACCACCACCACCACCCCUAGGUCCCAUGUCAGCAGGUGCCAGGUUGCUACAAAGGUGACAGGGCACAUUGGGAAGAAGGCUUGUUGAUUGCAGAAGAUACUUAUGCCCCGUGUUUCCAGGUCGAUGCCUGUGUGUUCCAUCAGUUAAUGGGGAGUAGUAGUUAAGAGAGUGUACUAGUGAGGUGUUGGUGAGGUGGGAUUUUGCUGUCUAUCGAGGAAAAUAAAAGAUGUGAACUUCCUGUGUUCAG